GAUUUAACUCCUUCACUUCAGUUUGAUGAGAAACAGUCUGGUGUACCUGAAGCUAGAUGUCUGGUGUCCCAGUCACUGCCAAGAGGGAUCCCAGGGCUCUCUCCUGAGUUUACUCCCAGAGUCACAUCAGAUAUGCCCAGCCCGAUUUUAGAACCCUUCGAAUCAUCUCCAUUCAGGAGGAUUUCUGACCCCAUAUUAUCAG